UACGAAGGGGGCUAGCGUUGCUCGGAAUUACUGGGCGUAAAGGGCGCGUAGGCGGCACUGUUAGUCAGGCGUGAAAGUCCUGGGCUCAACCUGGGAACUGCGCUUGAUACGGCAGAGCUAGAGGAUGGAAGAGGGUCGCGGAAUUCCCAGUGUAGAGGUGAAAUUCGUAGAUAUUGGGAAGAACACCGGUGGCGAAGGCGGCGACCUGGUCCGACACUGACGCUGAGGCGCGAAAGCGUGGGGAGCAAACAGG
rnacentral:rRNA from 1 species